rnacentral:rRNA from 1 species
UUUAAGGGAGGAAGGUGGGGAUGAUGUCAAAUCAUCAUGCCCGUUAUGACUCACCUACACACGUGCUACAAUGGACGGUACAAAGGGCAGCCAACCGUUGAGGGGGAGCCAAUCCCAGAAAACCGUUCUCAGUUGGGACUGCAGGCUGCAACUAGCCCGCAUGAAGCAUGAAUCGUUGGUAAUUGAUGAUCAGCAUGCCACGGUGAAUACGUCAUCGGGCCUUGUACACACCGCCAAUCACACCAGGAGAGUUUUAACACCAGAAGUCGGUGAGGUAACCACUUUGGAGCCAGCCGCUGAAGGUAGACAGAUGAGGGCUGAAGUCGAAGGAAUGUCAU